rnacentral:misc_RNA from 1 species
GUACCCUCAAGCUUUGCUUGGUGUUGGGCGUCUUGUCUCCAGCUCGCUGGAGACUCGCCUUAAAGUAAUUGGCAGCCGGCCUACUGGUUUCGGAGCGCAGCACAAGUCGCGCUCUCUUCCAGCCAAGGUCAGCAUCCACAAAGCCUUUUUUCAAC